rnacentral:rRNA from 1 species
AGUUUGAUUCUGGCUCAGAACGAACGCUGGCGGCAGGCCUAACACAUGCAAGUCGAGCGCUCCGCAAGGAGAGCGGCGGACGGGUGAGUAACGCGUGGGAACGUGCCCUCUUGCCUGGGAUAACUGCGGGAAACUGCAGCUAAAACCGGGUGAGCCCUACGGGGGAAGGAGAGGAUCGGCCCGCGUUGGAUUAGGUAGUUGGUGGGGUAAUGGCCUACCAAGCCGACGAUCCAUACCUGGUUUGAGAGGAUGAUCAGGCACACUGGGACUGAGACACGGCCCAGACUCCUACGGGAGGCAGCAGUGGGGAAUCAUAGACAAUGGGGGAAACCCUGAUCUUGCCAUGCCGCGUGGACGAUGAAGGCCUUAGGGUUGUAAAGUCCUUUCACCGGUGAAGAUAAUGACGGUAGCCGGAGAAGAAGCCCCGGCUAACUCCGUGCCAGCAGCCGCGGUAAUACGGAGGGGGCUAGCGCUGUUCGGAAUUACUGGGCAUAAAGCGCGCGUAGGCGGGCUGUUAAGUCGGGGGUGAAAUCCCGGGGCUCAACCCCGGAACUGCCUUCGAUACUGGCAGCCUAGA